GACGAACGCUGACGGCGGGCUUAACACAUGCAAGUCGAAGGGAGUGGCGCACGGGAGAGUAACACGUGAGUAACCUGCCCUUUUGUUUGGGAUUAGCCUGGGAAAUUGGGACUAAUACAGGAUGGUUUGGGCUGGGCUCGCGGCUUAUUAGCUUGUGUGUGGGGUGAGGGCGUAGCAAGGCUUUGACGGGUAGCCGGGCUGAGAGGGCAGUCUGUCACACUGGGACGGAGAGACGGCCCAGGCUCCGCCGGGAGGGAGCAGAUGGGGAUAUUGCACAAAGGAUGAAAGACCGAUGCAGCGUCGUCGUGUGGGGGAUGAAGGCCGUCGGGUUGUAAAAGCCUGUCGCCCGCGGGAUGGUAGUGGGUAAAGAAGCACCGGCUAACUACGUGCCAGCAGCCGCGGUAAUUC
rnacentral:rRNA from 1 species